UACGGAGGGAGCUAGCGUUGUUCGGAAUUACUGGGCGUAAAGCGCACGUAGGCGGCUUUGUAAAUUAGAGGUGAAAGCCCGGGGCUCAACUCCGGAACUGCCUUUAAGACUGCAUCGCUUGAAUCCAGGAGAGGUGAGUGGAAUUCCGAGUGUAGAGGUGAAAUUCGUAGAUAUUCGGAAGAACACCAGUGGCGAAGGCGGCUCACUGGACUGGUAUUGACGCUGAGGUGCGAAAGCGUGGGGAGCAAACAGG
rnacentral:rRNA from 1 species